GGCUAGGACCACGCUGGUCAAUGCAAACCAGAAAAAAGAAGGGUUUAGGUAAGCGCCACGGGGGCCUUGGCUAAGGAGCGCGUCAGGCCGACAGGCGCUGGCGAGCAGGGGAAUCUGCAACUCGCAAGAUGUGGGAGAAGCCACAUGGGGACCUCACAUCUGCUGGAGGCUUUGCGGCUGCAAUCAGGGGGCCAGCGUCAGGGUCGGGUCCCCGCAGACCGCUUGGCCAGACAACGCGGGAGCGGAGCAGCUUAGCCAGCUCUCGACAGGAUCCAGUGUCUGCUGGAGGAGACCCGCUUUCUGUUGUUGUCAUGUCCUUCAGAUGAUUGGAGGGUGGGGAGCGAGGAAAAAGAGAAGAGGAAUCAUGCCUUGAAAUUGGAAGCUGCCAGACAUAUCACAUAGUGACAGUUCUCUGGGGAGGAGACUCUUUUGGAAACCUCCAAACUUUCUCAACCCCCUCAAGCAGAGAGGAGGCUGCUGGUAUUCCCAGUUACCACAGAAUGAUGACCUUUGAAUAGAAUGGCCUAACUAGAUUUCAAGGAUGCAAGGAAAGUAAGUUUCGAAUAAACACGUGAACAAAACUUCCUCCAGCAACUGAUUCCUUUCUGUGAUCUAAAGGAAAUGAUGAGUUCACACAAUCAAGCACAGAAACACAAAUUUUGCUUUUUCCUGGAGUGAAUUAUUGUUCACACCCCUUAGUUUCUGUGUUCUCAUCAGUAAUCCAAACGCCGGUUGUCCAGCAGAGUCCUAAAUCGCCUGGUUAGCGCUCCCACCAGAUAAUCCAUCAGUUUCGUCUGACCGGGAAGCCUCUCUCGGAGCCUCCGGACCUGCUGCAGCCAGAUGGGGGGUCCCCCAGGGGUGGUGCACACCGUUCAUCCCGCGUAGCUCACAGGCUUUGCUGCCGUGUUGCAGCUCCCGGGUCCAGUGCUGCCUGCGUCUCAGAAGAACAGGUGCCGGCAGACGCAAACCUUGACCUUCCAGGGCUCCACACGACACGUGCGCAUUCGCAUGUUUGCUCAGUGCCCUCCCACAGUCGCUCGGUUGUGGCUGUAGCCGUGUGUACGUACAGUGCACGCGUCCGCAGUCUUUGCGCUAAAACACCUGCCUCCAAAGUCGCCCGUGAAGGGGAACAGAGAGCUGGAGGAGUGUAUAUGGUAUUGCUCAGGGCCAGACCUGGAAACGGUUUUCAUUACCUCUGCUCACCUCCCAGUGGCCAGAACUCCAGUCACAGGACCCCCGACCACCCCCACACCCCCCGCCGCCCCCCACCCCUGACUAUGAGGGGCAUUAGGGCAGGUCGUCUGCCGGUGUUCCAGGAAGAAGAAACGCUAUGGGAAAUUUAUAGCAUUAUGUCCGCCGGUCUGCCCGUCUGAUCACCAAACCAUUUUAUUGUUCUUCCAAUAUGUAGACAAAAGACAACAAAACAAUAAUCUCCACUGGUUCUGACCCUCUUGGUCUGGCAACUACGAAGUUAAAAACAAAAAUCACCGGUUGCAUAAACACCCAAAUAAAAAGGUCGCUUGGAGACAAAAAGUACCCCAAACGUUGAAGAACAGCAGAUCGAAGACCAUCACUGCCCUGGAGCAAUUCGGAAAUCCCUCUGGGCAGCAACCCGUGGGAGUAGGGAAACUUCCUGGAUUGGGCCCUGAUUCUGCCUCUGGAAGGAGCUCCUGUGGCUAUUCUGUGAGGCCUUUUUCUCUGCUUUCUGAAAGACUCUUAUUUUUAUUUUCCUUGGUCAUAUCAGACCAGAGUGCUAGCAAACAUGUCCCUUCAGGAGGAAAGUAUAUACAAAGCCUCUGAAGUCUCUUUUUCGGUUGUGGUCAUUGGGCUGCUGGGAUUGUUCCAGUUUUCAAACUGUUCAAGAUUUGGCAGGGGCAGGGGGGCAGUGGUGUCAACCAAAUUCAUGGUUUCUUUGGCAAUACAAUUCCCUCAGAAGCAGAAGUUUCUGAGGUAUUUGCUUUCCAUCAGAUUCAUAGGCAGCAAGUGUAACAAGUUCUUUCCUAAACAUAGGUGUGCCUUCUAGAUAGAGACCCCAGUCAUUGCCUCUCCCUCCCUAUUCUCCCAGUUCAAUGACCACCACACUGAGGUUAUCAGGUGUGAAAGGGACCAUAACGCCCAGGUCACUUUUUCUGAGAGGUUUUACUGUAAGUUUAUGUCUCUUACCUUUUGUGCUUUAUAAAUGAGAAGAUGGCUUUCAGGGUGCAAAUUUCUGUAUCCCCUUUAAUUCCCUUUGAUUUCUCCUUGCACACCAGACAAUCAUUUCCAAAGGCUGUCAUUUGCAACACCUUGCCAAAUGAAUCCCAGAGUGGCCGACUCCCACCAACACUUUCUUUGUAACCAGUUCUCCUUGGGCCUCUAGCUCCCACAUCGCAGCAAGUGAUGGUUUUUUCAAAUGUUUGCCACCACAUAAC